rnacentral:ncRNA from 1 species
AGACAGCGCUAUCGCGCUUCCUCAGCCGAUCGAGGUAAACACUGGCUCAAACAACUUUCUUAUCCGAAACUCAUA